GGAUUUGGAUUAGAGUGUGGCUAGGGUUUGGUUUCGGAUUUGGAUUAGGAUUUGGAUUAGGGUUGGAUUAGGGUUUGGAUUAGGUUUUGAAUUACGGAUUGGGAUUCGGUUUAGGAUUUGAUUUAGGAUUUGGUUUAGGAUUUAGGAUUUGAAAUAGGGUUUAAUUUAAGAUUUAUUUGGGAUUUGACUUAGAGUUUAGGAAUUAUUAGGAUUUAAGAUUUAAUUCGGUUGGUCUAAAGUUGAGUAAAAU
rnacentral:lncRNA from 1 species